AAGGAGUCCAGGUACUGUACGUGUUCAAAGGCUUGGAGAGAUCAACAAUUCCAAUGAACUAGCAAUAUAGGAGUGAGAUUGCUACAAAAUAACAGCAUUUUUCUUCGAACUAGGUGGUCUGUUAAACCCAUCCCGCACCCACAGGGUUGAAGAUAUGAUUUAUGGAGUGGUUGUGGUUAUGGUUUAUUGAGAAAAGAUGGCCAUUAUUCUUUACAUUAAAUGAAUAAUAUCACUGUAGCACCAGUGCACCUACUAACUCAUCCCAUCUUCCAUUUUCUUUCUCAUACUACAUUCUGUUGUUAGUCAUCUUCUUGGCAGUGUUAUUCUUAGUUAAAUAACUCCCCAAGUGAC